rnacentral:sRNA from 1 species
GCAGGUAGUAAGUAGUAGAGCAGGGACUCAAACCCAGAGCCCAUGUGUUUGUUGACUCUGCUGCUCUGGAAUCUGCAUUUCUUGCCAAGAACUUUAAGAAUAGGUUUAUAACACCAGUGUUACUUCACUCCCCUUUGUGGACACCAAGAGGAAGAAGAAUAUGGUAAGCUUCCCACACAUUAGUAAGAAAGUCCUGCUGAAGUCAUCCCUGCUGUAUCAGGUGAGUGCAGAUGGACUGGACCCUGAGAAGGCAGGUGAAAGACCUGGUUUUAGUCCAAAGCCAGUUUUAGAAAAGCCCAGGAUGGUGGGGAAAAGCAUAGUAGCCGCUGAAGAGGAGAAUCAAGCUCACAAUCAGAUGCCGGCCUCAGAGCUCAAGGCUUCAGAAAUACCUUUCCACCCUAGCAUUAAAACCCAGGAUCCCAAGGCAGAGGAGAAGUCACCAAAGAAGCACAAGGUGCCUCUGACAGCCGCAGAGGCCCUAAAGCUUUUUAAGAACCAGCUGUCUCUAUACGAGCAAAGUGAAAUCCUGGGCUACGCGGAGCUGUGGUUCCUGGGGCUUGAAGCCAAGAAGCUCGACAUGGCUCCUGAGAAAUUGAGCAAGACGAGUUUUGAUGAUGAGCAUGGCUCCUAUCUGAAGGUCCUGCAUGAUCACAUUGCCUACCGCUAUGAAGUUCUGGAGAUGAUCGGGAAGGGGUCCUUUGGACAGGUGGCCAAGUGCUUGGAUCACAAAAACAAUGAGCUGGUGGCCCUGAAAAUCAUCAGGAACAAGAAGAGGUGUGGCUUGGGGGAUGACACAGGCCACAGAGGAGGGACUGCGUGACUCUGGCCCCUGCAGAAGGCCAGCCCUUCCUGACUGUGCCUCUCCCUCCAAUCUUCCCUUUUGUUUUCCCUUUUCUGUUUCUACCCAUCUUAUUCCAUGAGGGGGCAAAGAGGAGAUUUCACCAGCAGGCCCUGAUGGAGCUGAAGAUCCUGGAAGCUCUCAGAAAGAAGGACAAAGACAACACCUACAAUGUGGUGCAUAUGAAGGACUUUUUCUACUUUCGCAAUCACUUCUGCAUCACCUUUGAGCUCCUGGGGUCAGCUGCCUUUUCUUCUUAACUCAUUUUCUCUGGAAAAGUUACCUAAGUGAUAGUGUUUGAGGUCAGAACACUAGAUUUCUCUGGAUGUGAAUAUUUAGUAACUAGAAUGGACAUGACAGUCACUCAGUUAUCCAGAAUGCCCAGGAGCAAGGAGGCUGGGAUGAAAGCAGGCCAUCUUGGUAUGCCUGUCACCUGCCAGCAUACCUGUGAUGUACUUCCCUGGUGCUGGGUACUAAGCCAGGUGACAUGACCAAAACAAGGUCUCUUUCCUCAAGAGCUAAACUGAAAUAGUCAAAAAGGACAUUUCUUUGUUUGCGAUCAUUUUCCCCACUCAUUGGCUUUCUGGCCUGAUUGUGCAGAGGCUGAAUCCCAAAGGAACAGGCAGCUGGCUGCUCAGAGUGGGAAAAGGGUUUUGAUUUUGAGUAAAUAAGGAUAACAGCA